UGAAACUCUUAGGAUAGAGAAAGCGAAAGUAUAAGAUUCUCAAAGUGAAAAGGUCUGGACCCUUCUAGAAGAAACUCUGUGCAGCAGGACAUAUAAAAUUGAACUUAACACCUCAUCUCAGAAUAAAGAGAAGCUGUGCAGCAGAUGAAGUUGGAAAUGCAAAAUACACAAGAGCAUAGUCAAUCAAGCACGGAUGAAGUGAAAAAUGUCAAGGUCCCUGAAGAACAGCUGGAAGAUUCCCCUAAUCGAGUUGCUUCAGACUUCUCUACACUUGCUUUGAUACCGAGACUCCUUUAUUGGGUUUACCCUUCAGCUCCUCUCUUAGGAAUGUGGCAGUUGGUCAAAGACAUUGCGAACUGGUUGUGGAGUUUCGUCCGCUCUCCAGGUAAACAGUCCAGCCUCAUAACAGUGAAAUAUUUUCAAGCUCUUCUAUGUAAAAGUAA